ACGGAGGGGGCUAGCGUUGUUCGGAAUUACUGGGCGUAAAGCGCACGUAGGCGGCUUUGUAAGUUAGAGGUGAAAGCCUGGAGCUCAACUCCAGAACUGCCUUUAAGACUGCAUCGCUUGAAUCCAGGAGAGGUGAGUGGAAUUCCGAGUGUAGAGGUGAAAUUCGUAGAUAUUGGGAAGAACACCGGUGGCGAAGGCGGCCCACUGGCCCGUAACUGACGCUCAUGCACGACAGCGUGGGGAUCAAACAGGA
rnacentral:rRNA from 1 species